UACAGAGGGUGCAAGCGUUGUUCGGAAUUAUUGGGCGUAAAGCGCGUGUAGGCGGCUAGGUAAGUCGGGUGUGAAGUCCCUCAGCUCAACUGAGGACGUGCGCCCGAAACUGCUUGGCUUGAGUGCCGGAGAGGAUGGCGGAAUACCCCAAGUAGAGGUGAAAUUCGUAGAUAUGGGGUGGAACACCGGUGGCGAAGGCGGCCAUCUGGACGGUAACUGACGCUGAGACGCGAAAGCGUGGGUAGCGAACAGG
rnacentral:rRNA from 1 species